rnacentral:miRNA from 1 species
UAUAGGAAUUUUCAAUUCCUAUAGGAAUUCCUAUAGGAAUUUUCAAUUCCUGUAGGAAUUCCUAUAGGAAUUUUGAUUUCCUAUAGGAA